CCCACCAUUCACGCUAAGAGGUUGGCCGUCGCUCUUGUAACACUCCAAGGUUUAAAAUGUAGGGAAUAUUAUGUGAUAUGGCAUGGAUUCGAACCUGACUCGUCGUCUUCGAAAUUCAAAGCUCUUUCACAAAAUCAACCCGUACUUGUAAAUAAUGCUUUUUGUUUAGCUCAUUUUAUAGACGUAGAAACAGAACUAUGGACUUCAUGAAUAGAUCGAUUCAUGUAGGAAUACCACGGGUUUUGUCAAAGCCUGAAAAACUGGAUGUGGUAGUUUUUCCAUCUUGUUGUUUUCGAGGACAGGAAUCGCCGCAGGGAGGUUUCCUAGGGAACGUCUUCCAUGUCAGUGAAACAGCAAAGCAAUUUCAUUCGGUUAAUAAAGACAUCAACCAUCUAUUGAGAAGAUAACAAAUGAAUGGUCACCUUGAGAACGUAGCAGCGUGAUAAUAAAAGAGGAAUACAUGGCACGAGGCAAAAAGAUCUCCCGCCCAAUCCUGUUUGGUCUUUUCAAAGUAAAGAACUCUGUUAGGCAGAGGUGUGCAGGUGCAUCUCAAAUAAGUGGCAUAUUUCCAUCUCUGCUUGAAGUAUUUCACUAAUAUUUAAACAAAUGCAAUUACAAAGUACAAGGUCAUUUGCAUUCUAUGUGAACUUUACACGGUAACAAUGUGACUUCGACAGUGAAUAAUGAUAUUUUGUCUCACAUGUUUUACAUUACUAUGAUGGCUUAGAUUUUACAGAACGAAUUACAGCGUGUUCAAAAACAAAAUUAGCAUCCUUUCAAAUAAGAAUAUAUGUUUUUACUCUCAGUGAUGGGCCUGGCUUAGCUUAAAAUUUAACAUGCAUGAACUAUAAACCCGAGGAUUCCUGCUCCGGGUCUUCUCGUUGCCGCUAAAACGUGGUCGAGACUUUGGGUUUGUGGGUGCGCUAUAAAUGUAAAGGUCAACUAUCACUAUAUGGUCAGACAAGAGUAGCCUAAGAGAUGGCGGUGGGUGCUGUUGGCUAGCUACCUUCCUUCUAGUUUGUGCUAACUUUAAUAUUGAUUUUGCACAUAUAAUAAGAUUAUACAUUGGAGCAGCAUUUCUAUGCACAAGUAUAUUAUUUUUACACUUCGACUUGUUUCUUUAGUAAAGAAUUAGAGAGGCAUAAACAACAUAAAUAGUGGAGUUUCUAGCUAAAGUAUGAAAACACUAUUGACGGCCAUGCACACGUGGGUUUUCGUAUAUAUAUCAGUAUGUACAAUUAAGAACAUCAAUAUGAAUUUCAGCAGUGAAUGACUAUCUCAUUGUGAAAGUAA